GAGAUAUUACUCUAUUUAAAUAAAUUUGCUCCCCCUCUGGUCUUGAUCGAACUGCGGCUUUGGCGCUGCGAUCUCAGAGGAGCGUCAAGAGCGCCAUCAAAUUGGACGGGGUAUGACGGAUCCCAGAUUGUCUUUGAGCUAGAGAGACUUACACUCGAACAACUGGAAGGCUUCGAUCGUCCCAGUCUUCUCUUCUAGCCUUGUGCUUCUGGGCUUUGGCUUUGGCGUAGCAGGCUUGCGACACUUAGUUAUGUGAUCCCUCUGCCAUUUCGAAGGCCGACCGACUCUCGGUCAUGUCACGGGCCUUUGCGACAAGAGCUCUCCCAGCACCUCCUUCAUCACGUCCACGGGCUUGCAAUCGGGCACCUGGCGUCGGUCUGUCCGGCCGCGUCAACCUGCAUACGAGCUGAAGUGAGCUUUAAUAUAAACUUGAUCUCUCCACAGCUCUCGCUCAAUGCCUCCUCCCUGUAAAACCACAUUGUACAACUACAACCUUGGCAAAAUCCAAACAGGCACUCUGCUAUUUUCUUUUCCUCCAGCGCGAGACACAAUUAAUUCUUCCGCCAUACCAAAACAUCAGGAGGAUCUAUAUCACCUGAAGGCGUGAUAUCAGUGAUUGAGAGCUUGCUCUAACCAGCCAUUUCUCACGAGAUCCCAGGUAGUCUUUUCGUCUAAACACAUGCGGUAGCUAUCCACGAAACGUAACCACAGAGUUUCUAGAAAACUCUGGAUCACAAAAAAUUCUCCUGUUACCACCGCUUGUUCCAGCGCCAGGGCCACCGCGAAGAAAGAUAACAUGCUAGAAAUCCAGUGCGUGAGAAUCGAAAAUGGAGAGUAGCCAGCUUACCUGACCAUGCGAACUCCGGAGUGAAGCUCCGGAUACAGUGCCGAUGGAACCGACCGGGACUUGGAUGCGAUUCCUGCGCAGUAACGCAUUCCAGAGAACCCUAGGCCCGGGGAUGCUCUGGAGCCUCGCUCCGUGGUCA
rnacentral:lncRNA from 1 species